rnacentral:rRNA from 1 species
GACGAACGCUGGCGGCGUGCUUAACACAUGCAAGUCGAACGGAAAGGCCCUGCUUUUGUGGGGUGCUCGAGUGGCGAACGGGUGAGUAACAUGUGAGUAACCUGCCCUUGACUUUGGGAUAACUUCGGGAAACUGGGGCUAAUACCGGAUAGGAGCUCCUGCUGCAUGGUGGGGGUUGGAAAGUUUCGGCGGUUGGGGAUGGACUCGCGGCUUAUCAGCUUGUUGGUGGGGUAGUGGCUUACCAAGGCUUUGACGGGUAGCCGGCCUGAGAGGGUGACCGGCCACAUUGGGACUGAGAUACGGCCCAGACUCCUACGGGAGGCAGCAGUGGGGAAUAUUGCACAAUGGGCGGAAGCCUGAUGCAGCAACGCCGCGUGCGGGAUGACGGCCUUCGGGUUGUAAACCGCUUUCGCCUGUGACGAAGCGUGAGUGACGGUAAUGGGUAAAGAAGCACCGGCUAACUACGUG